rnacentral:sRNA from 1 species
AUGGCAUCAUCCUGGCUGUCGGGGGUGGAACCGAGCUUAGUCUUGUUCAUUUUUUUAGACAACAGCCCCAAGGCGAAACGGCGCGAAGCGGUCUCGAGCGGCUGGAGCGGGUCGUUGAGCGCCCCGCCGGAGACGCCCGGAAGGGCCGAAAAACCGGCAUGCAAGCCCCAUUCCGAGGGGGC